AUAUUGUGGUGUGGGCAUUCUCUCUGCAAGUCCUUCAACCUAUCCCAUGCUUCCUUCAAUGUCUCAUCAGGUUCUUGUUGGAAGGUAGCAAGCUUGUCUCUAAUUUC
rfam:Beta vulgaris subsp. vulgaris 0187.scaffold00534.con0020.1, whole genome shotgun sequence.